CAAUAUGUGGUAUAUGAUUGUGAUAGAAUACUAUUGUGCUGUAAGAAAUGACAAGCAGGAUGUAAAGGGAUUAUAAACAUUCUCUUUAUAUAUGAUGUAUAUGUACACAUAUAUAUGUGGAUCACCUACAUACACAUUCCCUUUUCAUCCUCAGAGGUAGGUAAGUGCUAACAUGUGUAUAAUAUAUAUGUAUGUGCAUGGAUCCAAAAACUGUAACCUCAAGUUUAAUCAACACUGACAUUUCAAACAAACUAAUGUGACUUUAGGCCACAUGAAGAGACAGAGAGGCAUGGUUCUCGGGAAAAAGAAGCAGAGACUAGAGCAUGAUAAAGUGACUCCAGCAAGGGCAUCCAGCCAACAGUAUAAUGGGAAAAUGAAGAGAUCAAGGAUUUGUAGACUUCACAGAAGCCUCCUCCCAUUACAUCAUUAAUAUGUUAAUUGAGAAAAGAAUCUGUAGGCUCUGGAAAUGGCAAGCACUGAAUAAAAUGACAAAAAAAUUA